AUGCCGACGAACAAUCUGAAGAACACCGCCGGAAAAUCUACGGCCAGAUUUAAAUCCACUAGAAAACCACUACGAGAUGUAUCGAAUUCAAAUAUGGUAAAGCCAUUGACAACUUCCUUUAAAUCCAAGAAGCCCUACGGAAGGCACAACGACGACGUUGAACCAGUUGCCGGUGAAAAUGUCGUCGAUCAUCUCCUUCUCAUUCGGUCCGACUCCUCCUCUGUUAUUCACCAGAUUGAUGAACUUGUUCAAGUGCUCAAACUAAGGGGCAAGAAGAGUGGGAAGGAAAUUGAAUCUUUCGCACAUGUCUUACCUGAAAUGCAAGCUUCUUUGAAGCUAUGGGUUCUCAAAUUUCAGAAAGCCCUUUCUGAUCUAUCCACGAGGCCCGAACAUCCAUCUGAACAGUCACAAAUUAGUGAGGCAGUUCCCGUGUUAGCUGAUAACACAAGCGAUGGUGUUGAUAGCCUUGACCAAUCCAAAUGGGAUUCCCUAGUUUCACCAUCACCUCUUGUGUCCUGGCGGGCAGGCUGUACAACUGAGAGUGGCAGACAACUUUUUCUGCUCACACCUUUGCCUCUUCGGAAAGUGCUCUCAUCAAAAUGCCAAGGAUCUUCUAAAAAGUUUGACAACUACACAUCAGACACGAAUGCCCAGCAACAUCCUCUUUUUGAUAUUAGGGGAGUUAUGGAAGAAUGUUUACUUGAGAACACAAUAUCCAUGGCUAGUCAACCACCAUCCCUUUCUGAUGUAACUGGGGAGAUGGACAUACCACCAUCCCUUUCUGAUGUAACUGGAGAGAUGGACAUACCACUAUCCCUUUCUGAUGUAACUGAGGAGAGGGACAUAUUGUGUGUGAAUAACGAAGUGAAGUCAAUUCUGAAUAAUGUUUCUGCUCAUGAUAUGAUCAUCAACGAGGUCCCUCAGAAAAGAGAUCUUAUUUCGCCUGUAAAAUUUUCACAAAUUGACAGUUCGUUGCUAGUGAUGACUCCAUGCUUGAAAAUGUCACCGCCGAAGACCUGUGUACUGCUUGAACCUUCAUCAGAAUACAACUGCCGGGACAAGCAUGGGGCUUAUAAAAUGACACCGUUUCCUAUUUCACGUCAUUUUCCUGGCAUGUCUGAAGAUUCAGAAUCCUCCAGCUCCGAAGGUGCUGAACAUUUGACAAAGAAGUAUCCAGAGCUAUUCGGAAUCAAACUAAGUCAAAACUUGACAAACGGAGGGAAGUUGGCCGAUGAUGAAUCACCAGACUUUCUAUUUUCACCACCCAAAACUUGUGUACUGAUGGAGCCACCUGUGGAAGAACCAUUGACUAAUGCAGCUGAAAUUGGUGGCAGCAACUUAGAUUUAGUUGAAAGAACUCCCGUGAUGACAGAAUCGAAGAGCAUUCUAGUAAUGAGAAAGCAUCCUGGUGAGAACACUUUGAAGAAAGAACUGUGGAUGAAAUUUGAAGCCGCGUCAAGUGAUGGCAUCUGUUUUAAUCCCUCUACUAUCCACGAAACUAUCCAAAAAGAUUUCCUUGAGAGAUUAGAAGAGGUUUCUGUUGAUGAGCUAACUGCAGAGGAGGGGGGCUAAGAUGGUAGAGAUCAUCACCCCCUCGGAUGUGCCGGAGUAUGCAGGGAAGAGGGAUUCAGAAAGUCAAAAAAAUGGAACUGUGUAUCUUAAGGUAAAUUUGAAACUUGUAUCAACUUUCCUUAUACCCCUCUUCUUCCCUCCUGUUUUGUGAAGUGAAGGUGAACAAGGACUUCAAAAAAUCCCUCCAAGUGCAAUAUUUUGUAAUUUUCGAAUGAAAACUUGAAGUUCUUAUCCUCCUGUUUUGUAGUAAAGAUGAACAUAGCAACAAAGGACUUCAAAUAUUAUUUUUGGUUCAAUUAAUGGAUGCCCAAUCUCCAUCGAAAAGAUUCACAAGAGGUUCAUUGUCUAAAUUUACUACCAUUCAAGAGAUAAGAUCCAAAUUCAAUAAUGACCCAAGUAGAUUUGUUGAUGGAGGUGUGAAGAAUCUUGUCGAUGUUGUUACUGGGUCAAGUAAGAAAA